rnacentral:rRNA from 1 species
UUAAGCCAUGCGAGUCGAACGAGUUUAGGCUCGUGGCGUACGGCCCAGUAACACGUGGAUAACCUACCCUUAGGACCGGGAUAACCUUGGGAAACUGAGGAUAAUACUGGAUAGGCAAUUAUUUCUGCAAUGGUUUUUUGUUUAAAUGUUUUUUCGCCUAAGGAUGGGUCUGCGGCCGAUUAGGUAGUUGGUUAGGUAAAGGCUUACCAAGCCGUUGAUCGGUACGGGUUGUGAGAGCAAGAGCCCGGAGAUGGAACCUGAGACAAGGUUCCAGGCCCUACGGGGUGCAGCAGGCGCGAAACCUCCGCAAUGUGAGAAAUCGCGACGGGGGGAUCCCAAGUGCCAUUCUUAACGGGAUGGCUUUUCAUUAGUGUAAAGAGCUUUUGGGAUAAGGGCUGGGCAAGACCGGUGCCAGCCGCCGCGGUAA